rnacentral:rRNA from 1 species
GGUUAAGCGACUAAGCGUACACGGUGGAUGCCCUGGCAGUCAGAGGCGAUGAAGGACGUGCUAAUCUGCGAUAAGCGUCGGUAAGGUGAUAUGAACCGUUAUAACCGGCGAUUUCCGAAUGGGGAAACCCAGUGUGUUUCGACACACUAUCAUUAACUGAAUCCAUAGGUUAAUGAGGCGAACCGGGGGAACUGAAACAUCUAAGUACCCCGAGGAAAAGAAAUCAACCGAGAUUCCCCCAGUAGCGGCGAGCGAACGGGGAGCAGCCCAGAGCCUGAAUCAGUGUGUGUGUUAGUGGAAGCGUCUGGAAAGGCGCGCGAUACAGGGUGACAGCCCCGUACACAAAAAUGCACAUGCUGUGAGCUCGAUGAGUAGGGCGGGACACGUGGUAUCCUGUCUGAAUAUGGGGGGGCCAUCCUCCAAGGCUAAAUACUCCUGACUGACCGAUAGUGAACCAGUACCGUGAGGGAAAGGCGAAAAGAACCCCGGCGAGGGGAGUGAAAAAGAACCUGAAACCGUGUACGUACAAGCAGUGGGAGCACGCUUAGGCGUGUGACUGCGUACCUUUUGUAUAAUGGGUCAGCGACUUAUAUUCUGUAGCAAGGUUAACCGAAUAGGGGAGCCGAAGGGAAACCGAGUCUUAACUGGGCGUUAAGUUGCAGGGUAUAGACCCGAAACCCGGUGAUCUAGCCAUGGGCAGGUUGAAGGUUGGGUAACACUAACUGGAGGACCGAACCGACUAAUGUUGAAAAAUUAGCGGAUGACUUGUGGCUGGGGGUGAAAGGCCAAUCAAACCGGGAGAUAGCUGGUUCUCCCCGAAAGCUAUUUAGGUAGCGCCUCGUGAAUUCAUCUCCGGGGGUAGAGCACUGUUUCGGCAAGGGGGUCAUCCCGACUUACCAACCCGAUGCAAACUGCGAAUACCGGAGAAUGUUAUCACGGGAGACACACGGCGGGUGCUAACGUCCGUCGUGAAGAGGGAAACAACCCAGACCGCCAGCUAAGGUCCCAAAGUCAUGGUUAAGUGGGAAACGAUGUGGGAAGGCCCAGACAGCCAGGAUGUUGGCUUAGAAGCAGCCAUCAUUUAAAGAAAGCGUAAUAGCUCACUGGUCGAGUCGGCCUGCGCGGAAGAUGUAACGGGGCUAAACCAUGCACCGAAGCUGCGGCAGCGACGCUGAUGCGUUGUUGGGUAGGGGAGCGUUCUGUAAGCCUGCGAAGGUGUGCUGUGAGGCAUGCUGGAGGUAUCAGAAGUGCGAAUGCUGACAUAAGUAACGAUAAAGCGGGUGAAAAGCCCGCUCGCCGGAAGACCAAGGGUUCCUGUCCAACGUUAAUCGGGGCAGGGUGAGUCGACCCCUAAGGCGAGGCCGAAAGGCGUAGUCGAUGGGAAACAGGUUAAUAUUCCUGUACUUGGUGUUACUGCGAAGGGGGGACGGAGAAGGCUAUGUUGGCCGGGCGACGGUUGUCCCGGUUUAAGCGUGUAGGCUGGUUUUCCAGGCAAAUCCGGAAAAUCAAGGCUGAGGCGUGAUGACGAGGCACUACGGUGCUGAAGCAACAAAUGCCCUGCUUCCAGGAAAAGCCUCUAAGCAUCAGGUAACAUCAAAUCGUACCCCAAACCGACACAGGUGGUCAGGUAGAGAAUACCAAGGCGCUUGAGAGAACUCGGGUGAAGGAACUAGGCAAAAUGGUGCCGUAACUUCGGGAGAAGGCACGCUGAUAUGUAGGUGAAGUCCCUCGCGGAUGGAGCUGAAAUCAGUCGAAGAUACCAGCUGGCUGCAACUGUUUAUUAAAAACACAGCACUGUGCAAACACGAAAGUGGACGUAUACGGUGUGACGCCUGCCCGGUGCCGGAAGGUUAAUUGAUGGGGUUAGCCGCAAGGCGAAGCUCUUGAUCGAAGCCCCGGUAAACGGCGGCCGUAACUAUAACGGUCCUAAGGUAGCGAAAUUCCUUGUCGGGUAAGUUCCGACCUGCACGAAUGGCGUAAUGAUGGCCAGGCUGUCUCCACCCGAGACUCAGUGAAAUUGAACUCGCUGUGAAGAUGCAGUGUACCCGCGGCAAGACGGAAAGACCCCGUGAACCUUUACUAUAGCUUGACACUGAACAUUGAGCCUUGAUGUGUAGGAUAGGUGGGAGGCUUAGAAGUGUGGACGCCAGUCUGCAUGGAGCCGACCUUGAAAUACCACCCUUUAAUGUUUGAUGUUCUAACGUUGACCCGUAAUCCGGGUUGCGGACAGUGUCUGGUGGGUAGUUUGACUGGGGCGGUCUCCUCCUAAAGAGUAACGGAGGAGCACGAAGGUUGGCUAAUCCUGGUCGGACAUCAGGAGGUUAGUGCAAUGGCAUAAGCCAGCUUGACUGCGAGCGUGACGGCGCGAGCAGGUGCGAAAGCAGGUCAUAGUGAUCCGGUGGUUCUGAAUGGAAGGGCCAUCGCUCAACGGAUAAAAGGUACUCCGGGGAUAACAGGCUGAUACCGCCCAAGAGUUCAUAUCGACGGCGGUGUUUGGCACCUCGAUGUCGGCUCAUCACAUCCUGGGGCUGAAGUAGGUCCCAAGGGUAUGGCUGUUCGCCAUUUAAAGUGGUACGCGAGCUGGGUUUAGAACGUCGUGAGACAGUUCGGUCCCUAUCUGCCGUGGGCGCUGGAGAACUGAGGGGGGCUGCUCCUAGUACGAGAGGACCGGAGUGGACGCAUCACUGGUGUUCGGGUUGUCAUGCCAAUGGCACUGCCCGGUAGCUAAAUGCGGAAGAGAUAAGUGCUGAAAGCAUCUAAGCACGAAACUUGCCCCGAGAUGAGUUCUCCCUGAC